rnacentral:rRNA from 1 species
AUACGAAGGGUGCUAGCGUUGUUCGGAAUUACUGGGCGUAAAGAGCAUGUAGGCGGAUAGAUUAGUCAGAGGUGAAAGCCCCGAGCUCAACUCGGGAACUGCCUUUGAUACUGUUUAUCUAGAGACCGAGAGAGGUGAGUGGAAUUCUCAGUGUAGAGGUGAAAUUCGUAGAUAUUGGGAAGAACACCAGUGGCGAAGGCGGCUCACUGGCUCGGAACUGACGCUGAGAUGCGAAAGCGUGGGGAGCGAACAGGAUUAGAUACCACAGUAGUCC